CCUAGCUAGCUAAGGUACACGAAAACCCUAAUUGCCAAUUCAUGUUAGAUACUUGCCAAAUGCAAUAUAUAUAUGUGAGGACAUCCUUAGACAUGUGGGUGGAGAGAGAGAGAGAAAGAGAAAGAGAGCUAUGGUUGCCAUCAUUGUUUCUCUUCUUUCUGAGAGCUUUGUUGAAAGCUAGCCUUGGGAUCGAAGGCAGAGAUAUCUUAAUCAUACCAUAGAAGAAGUAUAAUCAUCUCCCUGUAAUUGCAGAGAGUGCUGAAGGCAGAAAUAGCUGGAGAGAGGUUUAAUUAUUCCUAUAUAUUUAGAGAUGAGAAGAGAAGCAGCAAACUAAAAAAAGAAAAAAAAGAAAAGUAAGGAACAGGAAAUAAAUAAAUAAAUAAAAGUCAGACAGAGAGAGAGGGAGAGGGAGGGUAUGGAGAUGGGUUAUUGAUGUAGUGUUUCUUUAUUUUGAAGGCUACUUUAAGAAGGAAACUUGAAAGAGUAAAGAGAAAAACUGAGAAAAAGUAGGAUACCAAAAGCAACAAGGUAUGUGGGUGUCACCUGAAAACUACUGUUCCUUUGAAUUGAGUGAGGGUAGAUUCCUUCCUGGAUCAAACACUGCCUAUAUGCUUACCCUAUACUAUACUUUUCUUUAAAAUUUUAAUUUACUUCUUCUACUCAUCUUGGGAUUUUCAAGCCCCCUUUAUAAAAUUUUAUCUGUCAUUAUGGAGUCUGCUAAUCUGCAUCACCACCAGCAUCAGCUUCAAGGCCAACUUGUUACUUAUUCUUCUUUGUCCUCCCCAUCUAGCCAUGGUGCUGCUUCAAGCCAUGCUUGGACCCAAGACAACACUUUAAAUUUGAUUAGUUCUGAAAGUAACUUCAAUCCUAACUGCAAUGGAGUCGCCUUAAAUCCAAGACAGAAAAAUGAGACAUUAAUCCCACCUCUCAACGGUUCAAUGAUCCCAGACUUGAGCUUCCACUGGAACGAUAAUCAUAAUAGCGAUGUAGCAGAAGAGUGCUUCACCAACCACUCUACUCAUGACCUGCAUCAACUUUCGAAAAUCAAACAAGAACUGUCAGACUCUUUCCCCAAAUUUACUGACAUGCUAAACAGUCCAUCAAGUAUUGAAGAUUCUUCUCAUUUAUCACCAUCACCCACAGCUUAUAUUAAAGACGAACGGAAAGAUAUGUCUGAUCUUAGCGAGAAGCUCUUACUCAAGACCCUUUCUUCUGGUUUUCCAAUCAAUGGCUAUCACUUCUCGCCUCCACAAAUUUUCUCAAACUGUACUGAUUCUAGCUUUGGAACUUCCAUGCCCAGCAGAGGCAGCUUUAGCCAGAUUUACCCUAGUAUAAACAUUUCAAACUUGAACCGGUCACCAUCACCAUCACCAUCUCCGUCUCCAUCGCCGUCGCCGUCAAUAUCAGGCAGCUCCUUUGACAUGAACUUGCAAGCCUUGGAUCUCUUAACCUGUACAAGAUUUAGUGGCAGUUUUGGACAAUCUUCGCAUAAUAAUAAUAAUCUUGCCAUGUAUAAUGGUGUCGAUCGUAUGCAGCAGCAACCAAGUCAUAUCCAAUCAUGUAGCCCUAAUAAAGUGUCCUCUUUCAUUACCACUGAAAUGACUGAGGCAAAGAGGCCCAACAACAGCUUGAUGGAGCCGAAGGCAACACAAGCUGCGCAAAAGAAAUCAAGAUUGGAGUCACGCGCUUCCUGCCCUCCCUUUAAGGUUAGGAAGGAGAAACUAGGAGAUAGAAUUGCAGCUUUGCAGCAGUUGGUUGCACCCUUUGGCAAGAAUAUUGCAGACGGACACAGCAUCCGUACUAAUGGAGGCUAUUGGAUACAUUAAAUUCCUUCAAAACCAGGUGGAGACACUAAGCGUUCCAUAUAUGAGAUCAUCGCGCAAAAAGACCAGCACUAGAACAGCACAAACAUUUCAGGGUUCAGGCCCAGAGGAAGAAGAUGAUGAGCCAAGGAAAGAUUUAAGAAGCCGAGGGCUUUGUCUCGUUCCAUUGUCUUGCAUGUCUUACAUAACUGGCGACGGCAAUGGUGGCGGUGGUGGAGGGAUUUGGCCACCGCCUAAUUUUGGUGGAGGAACAUGAUAGUAAUAUGCAUUUCAAGAAAACAAAGCAACUACUGGACAACAUUAUUAGAGUACGUUCUGCUUUGUUCUUAAUUUUAAGCUUUUCUUGGAUAGAAAUUAAGCUUAAUUGAUCAAGUUUCUGUAGUUUGUUUUAAUGGAGCAAGUUUGGUCAUCCUGUAAAUUCCAGGAUAGACCAAAUUUGAUCCAUUAAACAUGCAGAUAACAAACAUUCUUAUUUGUAAGUUUAAAUUAAGCGGAAAGCACCUCUUUUGACAAGGUUUUCUCGGCUAAA